UUAGAGUCGAUUGAUCAAAUAAGAUUCGUAAAUUAAUAAGUUAUAAUUGCAUUAAAAGGGUGAUCGUCUAAGUGUUUUUAUAACUUUUUAGCUUGGAUUGGAUACAUAAAGGGACACCAACUUGUAUUUUAAUUGAAGCCUCUUAGAGUCGUUUUUCAUGUCAAACAACGGGAAUGGGGAAUACUUGUGAUCGCAAUACUUAUUUCCAUUGUUUCCAGUUAUUUCAACGUUUGAGUCUUUAUCGUACAUGACCGUCUAGGCAGUUAUUUUAGAUUUAUGUGUCAUGCUGUUGCUCAAGCAAAUGUCAAGUCCCACAAACAAGUGUUUGUCAACCCGGUUUCUUUAUCUAUAUAAAUCAACAAUGAACAUUGCAUGAAACAUGUCUAAAUAAACAUAUAUGUUGAUAUCUGAUUUCUUGUUUGUUUUAUUUGUUUAUUUGCUUAAUUUAGUUGUAAUUCACAUUUUAUGCUUUAUUUUCAUAGUUUAAAAAUCAAAUCUCAAAAAUCCUUUCUUUUCAUUAACAAAGUGCAUUUCAAAAGAUUUUAUAGUUCACUUAAGUUUUCAAUUCACCACCUUCUUGUCGACACUCGAUUCAUACUUGCCAUAUACUUUUGUAUUUGGUCGAGUUUUUGACUUUCUUUCCAUCAUUUCAUUUUCCACAUCCUCUUUUAUUGACCGUGGCCCGUUGACUUCCCGACGACGUCUUUCGGGCCCGCGUCAACGGAAGAAUUCUGAAACCCUAAAAAAGGCACCCUUUUGGGAGGAAGGACGCAUUCUAAAACGAGGGUUCCCACUAUAGGGUUUGGGGUUUGAAAGCCGAGAUCGACCUUCAAACCCUAAACACUAGAGUGGGAUGUUGGUAGGGGAGGGACGUGCAAAAUAAAAUUUGGUUCAGAGGGGGAAUCAUGACAACGGGGCCUUCGGCUAAAUUCGGCUACCGCUCCUAAAAAGGGCACCCUUUCAAGGGAAGGACGCAUUCGAAAACCCUAAAAAGGGUGAGGGUUCCCAUUUUAUGGUUUAGGGUAGGCUAACCCUCGGCCUUUAAACCCUAAACACUAGAGUUAGAUGUAGUAGGGGAGGGAUGUACAAAAUCAAAUUUGAUUCGGAGGGGGGGAUCAUGACAAUGGGUAUCCGGCCACCGCUUUAGGGUUUGAAGGUCGAGGGUUAGCACGGCUAACCCUCGAGCUUCCUUUGUUCCGUAAGAAGCUUACAAUCAUUAAUUUUAUGGUACGCGUCUAUAUCGUCUUUACAUCAUUGCGCUUUCAAUGCAUAUGAAAUGUUACCAUAGGAGGUGCUGAUGGGUCAGAUUACGACAAAGAAGCCAUAAGUUUUAAAAAAAUGUAUACCAAGAAUGAUAACGUUUGUUAAAUAUUUGUUUCAAAUUGUUAUAGUAUGUAAUAUACACAAAUAUAUAUAUAUAUAUAUAUAUACGACAUUUGAGACCGGGGAUCCCAAACCGGUUCUCAUUUCUUGCGCCUUGGACAAAUGUCGCAUGUCACAUCUUCCAGAAAAUCUUCUGUACACUCUGCGAGAAAGGGCUUGGCAACCCCGGUCUCAAUUUUCAAGUUUGAGACCGGGUUUGGGAAUAGCGGGUUUGACCCACUUUUUUUAGAUCGGGUUUGCCAAACCCGGUUUACCUUGUUCCACAAAUUUUUUUUUUUGCAAAAACUUUUUUAACAAAACAUCCGACAAAGAUGCCCGUUUCAAAAAAAAUAUUCAUCAUACUUGUUCUCCCAAACUAGAAGUCUAGAACGCUUCUCCCCAACUCUGUUGGAAAUUUUUUGCUUGAGUAAUGUUGGAAUCAAAGUUGAUAUAGGAUUUUCCAGCUGAGAUUCUACAUACUUGAUUGUUAUUCUUGUAUUAGGGGUGGCAUAAUGGGCGUGUUGGGUAAUAAGUCAAAAUAGGUAUCAUUGAUCUGUUUGUAUUGCCACCUCUAUUAUGUAACAUUGAUAGACAUAAGCAAAAGAUUUGUACUUUCAGGCAUCUUAGAUUUCAUUUAACCUGCGUAUCUUGUUUUUGGGCUUGGUAACUAGUCAACUUGGCUGAUAAACCACAAAAUCUUAUUCCAUGAUGUUCAAGUUUCAAAAUAUAAUGUUGUAGGUUUCAUUGGAAUAGAAGAAGGAAGAAUUGUUUGACAGGUCGAUUUGGCUCGAGAAAAAACAUAAAUUUGGGUUCCACCCUCCAGUCAUGGAGAACUUACACCUGUCAUAGAUAUAUUCUCCAGGAGUAUAGAACUUUUAAGAGGUGAGGUAGACGGUGAUGCUGACAAUAACUCUGUGGUGUAUCCACCAUUUGUCCAUGAUUCUAAUAUAUAAGCUUUUUAAUUGAAUUUAUUACAUUAGUUUUUUUGUGAAGUUCUCAAAAAUGAAUCUUUUGGAGCAAACCUGACUGCACGCCUUAGUGACCUGUUAACUGCACGUCUGUUUUGAGGACCUCUACCCUAACAAAAGGGGAUCAGAUUAUCAGGGAAACCUUUGUGCCACCCAUCCCAUCUUGUUAGAACACACGCAAAAUGAUAGAGGGAGCAUCGUCCAAGCUCAGUUUUUAUUUUACUCACAUGUGAACGUUGAUGCUAAAAUUCCGAUUGCUACAUUUUCUUACCCGCUGUUAUUGGAAGAUACCUCACUUUAAGCCUUUAAGGUUAUCCCUAUUUCAGGUGCAGUUUCUAUCUACAUCCAUGUGAAGGUUCAACUGCCCAGAUCUUGGCGCAAGGGAAACUGAGUGCAUCACGUAUUAUAAAAAUACACAAGAUCCUAAAACACGACAUGGGCUUAGAAACUGUCCGAGUUUGUCCUGUAGACCUGAACUACCGGACUGUCUCAGGAAGAUGAAUGACUGAGGUCUUGGAUGCAAGUACUUUGGCAAGGUUCAGUAAGCAACCAUGAGUGACUUUUGAGGCCUUUAGAAUGUCCAGAAGUCGUUAUCACACAAGACAGGUGCUGUAUUAUGUAUUGUAUCCAUACUAAUCCGGUACACACAGAACUCGGUUAUCAGAUUGAAGGCUUGUACUCUAGUUAUUGAUCAUGAGAACUGUUGACUUCAGAGAACGACGAGUGAAAACAUAAGAAAACAUCUCUCCUGAGUGUUUUCUUGUUUUGUUUUUAACGUUCGAUGGUCAGAGCCUGUUCAUCCUGUUACGGUCCCUACACCUACAAUUUGAUAUCCAUUUGUUAAUUUGUACUAAUGGGGGGUUAUUAAUGUAAAACCACAAAGUUUAGCAUGGCGAAUACAAUCAAGUACUUAGGCAAAUAUAUCAUUGUCAUACUUACCAAACCUAUUGAGUUGGUGGUUUAGUACUUUAGUUUUGUUUUGCCUUUUCCCAUUUUCUUGUAUUUUUAGGAUGUGUCGUGUCCACUGUGUGUUGUGUUCGCAACUUAUUGACGGUAUGAUUUUGCUACAGAAUAAGUCAUGGGUGCAACUUUUUGUAGAUAAUGUAUUCUGGACAUUUGAUUUGUAGCUUGAAACAGUUUUAUUAUGUUUUGUAAAGUAUAGUGAAAAUCGCUAUCUAGUGAAAACCCAAUUAGAUGGUAAAUGUUAUGAUUUUAUAUCCGUAAA